rnacentral:rRNA from 1 species
UACAGAGGUCUCAACCGUUGUUCGGAUUUACUGGGCGUAAAGCGCGCGUAGGUGGUUCGUUAAGUUGGAUGUGAAAUCCCCGGGCUCAACCUGGGAACUGCAUUCAAAACUGACGAGCUAGAGUAUGGUAGAGGGUGGUGGAAUUUCCUGUGUAGCGGUGAAAUGCGUAGAUAUAGGAAGGAACACCAGUGGCGAAGGCGACCACCUGGACUGAUACUGACCACUGAGGUGCGAAAGCGUGGGGGAGCGAACAGGA